rnacentral:other from 2 species
UGUCCUCGGCAGUGUCCGACAGCUCAUUCAACAUUUUGCCUUGUUCCUGUAGCGACCCCGGGUCGGUUACGUACAGGUCGGUGUGCAAGUCCGCCCCGAGCGGAAAGCCUGAUGACCGUGCCAGACCUUCCCACCUGAACCGAUCGGUUCAAGGUCGUUAGAUGCGCAUCGGCAUGGCGGAGGACGC